rnacentral:rRNA from 1 species
GACGAACGCUGGCGGCGUGCUUAACACAUGCAAGUCGAACGGAAAGGCCCUGCUUUUGUGGGGUGCUCGAGUGGCGAACGGGUGAGUAACACGUGAGUAACCUGCCCUUGACUUUGGGAUAACUUCAGGAAACUGGGGCUAAUACCGGAUAGGAGCUCCUGCUGCAUGGUGGGGGUUGGAAAGUUUCGGCGGUUGGGGAUGGACUCGCGGCUUAUCAGCUUGUUGGUGUGGUAGUUGCUUACCAAGGCUUUGACGGGUAGCCGGCCUGAGAGGGUGACCGGCCACAUUGGGACUGAGAUACGGCCCAGAAUCCUACGGGAGGCAGCAGUGGGGAAUAUUGCACAAUGGGCGGAAGCCUGAUGCAGCAACGCCGCGUGCGGGAUGACGGCCUUCGGGUUGUAAACCGCUUUCGCCUGUGACGAAGCGUGAGUGACGGUAAUGGGUAAAGAAGCACCGGCUAACUACGUG